rnacentral:rRNA from 1 species
UACAGAGGGGGCAAGCGUUGUCCGGAAUUAUUGGGCGUAAAGAGCUCGUAGGCGGUGUGUCGCGUCGGCCGUGAAAACCUGCAGCUUAACUGUGGGCGUGCGGUCGAUAUGGGCAUCACUGGAGUUCGACAGGGGAGACUGGAAUUCCUGGUGUAGCGGUGAAAUGCGCAGAUAUCAGGAGGAACACCGGGUGGGCGAAGGCGGGGUCUCUGGGGCCGAUACUGACGUGGAGGAGCGAAAAGCGUGGGGGGAGCGAACAGG